rnacentral:rRNA from 1 species
AUUGAACGCUGGCGGCAGGCCUAACACAUGCAAGUCGAACGAGUGGCGGACGGGUGAGUAAUGUCUGGGAAACUGCCUGAUGGAGGGGGAUAACUACUGGAAACGGUAGCUAAUACCGCAUACCAUCGGAUGUGCCCAGAUGGGAUUAGCUAGUAGGUGGGGUAAAGGCUCACCUAGGCGACGAUCCCUAGCUGGUCUGAGAGGAUGACCAGCAAAACUGGAACGGGGACCGGGUCCAGACUCCUACGGAAGGCAGCAGUGGGGAAUAUUGGACAAUGGGCGCAAGCCUGAGGCAGCCAUGCCGCGUGUAUGAAGAAGGCCUUCGGGUUGUAAAGUACUUUCAGCGGGGAGGCGUUACCCGCAGAAGAAGCACCGGCUAACUCCGUGCCAGCAGCCGCGGUAAUUC